rnacentral:rRNA from 1 species
AUUGAACGCUGGCGGCAUGCCUUACACAUGCAAGUCGAACGGCAGCACGGGUGCUUGCACCUGGUGGCGAGUGGCGAACGGGUGAGUAAUACAUCGGAACGUACCUUAUCGUGGGGGAUAACGCAGCGAAAGCUGUGCUAAUACCGCAUACGCCCUGAGGGGGGAAGCGGGGGAUCGCAAGACCUCGCGCGAUUAGAGCGGCCGAUGCCUGAUUAGCUUGUUGGUGGGGUAAAAGCCCACCAAGGCGACGAUCAGUAGCUGGUCUGAGAGGACGAUCAGGCACACUGGGACUAGGACACGGCCCGGACUCCUACGGGAGGCAGCAGGGGGGAAUUUUGGACAAUGGGGGCAACCCUGAGCCAGCAAUGCCGCGUGAGUGAAGAAGGCCUUCGGGUUGUAAAGCUCUUUUGUCAGGGAAGAAACACCGGCUCUAACACAGUCCGGGAAUGACGGUACCUGAAGAAUAAGCACCGGCUAACUACGUGCCAGCCGCCGCCGUAA